rnacentral:rRNA from 1 species
AACGUAGGACGCAAGCGUUAUCCGGAGUUACUGGGCGUAAAGCGCGUGCAGGCGGUCUUGCCAGUCUGAUGUGAAAUCUCUCAGCUCAACUGGGAGCAGCCAUUGGAAACUACAAGACUGGAGUCUGACAGAGGUAGGCGGAAUUCCGGGUGGAGUGGUGAAAUGCGUAGAGAUCCGGAGGAACACCAGAGGCGAAGGCGGCCUACUGGGUCAGUACUGACGCUGAGCCGCGAAAGCCAGGGGAGCGAACGGG